rnacentral:pre_miRNA from 1 species
GUUGAGGGGAAUGUUGGCUGGCUCGAGGCUUUCAGUUUCAGGGGUAGCUCUCUGAAGAGAGGUGAAGGCGUCGGACCAGGCUUCAUUCCCCUCAAC